AUUCCAGCUCCAAUAGCGUAUAUUAAAGUUGUUGCGGUUAAAAAGCUCGUAGUUGGAUUUCUGUUGAGGAUGACCGGUCCACCCUCCGGGUGAGUAUCUGGCUUGGCCUUCGCAUCUUGCUGGGGAAUGUUGCUGCACUUGAGUGUGUGGUGCAAAAAACCUGCGUUUGUACUUUGAGGAAAUUGGAGUGUUUCAAUCAGGCUCAUGCCUUUGAACACACUAGCAUGGAAUAUUGAUGUGGAGUCUCUGCUUCAUUUUGUCGGUUUCUGGGGUGGAGGUGAGUAUUAGUGGGGAUUGUGGGGGGCAUCUGUAUUCAGCUGUCAGAGGUGAAAUUCUUGGAUUUGUUAAAGACAGACAACUGCGAAAGCAUUUGCCCAAGAUGUUUUCAUUA
rnacentral:rRNA from 1 species